GGAUUGUGGCUCAGCGGUAGAGCGAUCGUCUAGCACGUGCGAGGCCCUGGAUUCGAUCCUUAGCACCA
rnacentral:tRNA from 1 species